rnacentral:rRNA from 1 species
UACAGAGGUCACAAGCGUUAUCCGGAUUUAUUGGGCGUAAAGCGUUUCGUAGGUGGGUUAUUUAGUUAUUCUUUAAAGACCACGGCUCAACCGGGGGAAGGGGAGUAAUACUGGUAGCCUUGAAAUAUGGUGGGGCAUCUGGAACUGAUGGUGUAGUAGUGAAAUACGUUGAUAUCAUCAGGAACUCCAAGGGCGAAGGCAGGAUGCUAAUCAUUUUUUGACACUGAGGAACGACAGCUAGGGGAGCGAAAGGG